AUGACACAUACAUGCAAGGGCACGUAUGGUGCUCUUCUCUUCAAUGACUCGUUCCUUUUUUUUUCUGCUCUUAAUACAUCAGAUCGCAUCAAGAGAAACAUCAAGAAAGAACAGCCGAGGGAAGACCCGGAGGAAGGCCACCGUGAGAUCGCAUCGGGGCACACCAGAGCAAGGAGAAGACGCGCCUGUGGCGGCAGCGUCGAUGAACAUGGCAGCCCCGCUGCCGAUCAAAUGACCAGAAAUGACAGCCGUCGAGAUGGCGCAAGGCUGGCCGGCACGUCGGCUGUGGCAACCGCGCCACUCUGA
rnacentral:rRNA from 1 species